AUGAAUUUAUUGACGGGGUUGUCGCUGGCCUGUAUGGGCAUGUGCACAUCCUGCUUCAAUUCAUCCACUUCAUACCUCUGUGCACUUUUCAUAGGUUGGCUUAUGGUGGUUGCUAUUCAGUGACCCUUUGGCCUUUCUAUGCAUUUUAUUACAAACAUUAUGGUUUAGAAUGUCUUCAUUGCGAAUAUAACGCAUACAAAUAUA
rnacentral:misc_RNA from 1 species